UACGUAGGUGGCAAGCGUUGUCCGGAUUUACUGGGCGUAAAGAGCGCGCAGGCGGUCGUUCAAGUCGCGUGUGAAAGCCCCCGGCUCAACUGGGGAGGGUCACGCGAUACCGAUCGACUCGAAGGCAGGAGAGGGUAGUGGAAUUCCCGGUGUAGUGGUGAAAUGCGUAGAUAUCGGGAGGAACACCUGUGGCGAAAGCGGCUCUCUGGACCACAACUGACGCUGAGGCGCGAAAGCUAGGGGAGCAACAGG
rnacentral:rRNA from 1 species